GGUCUGGUUCUUGAGGGACUCCCAUUAUCACAACACGAUAAUAUGAAUAAAAAUGUCUUCUAAAAUCAAAAGCUUCUAAAUUGCAGGAUUUUGCAUUAAAUGAGUGAGUAUUAAGAUCAGCUUUUAGAAUCUCUCCAAGGAGUCGCAAAGAAUGCAUGGCCAGACUAAGAAUUCAACGAGCGGGUAACAAUGGAGAGUAGAUUGACAAGACUUGAUGAUAUUGAUGGUGAAGUGUCAAUAAUCACAAACCAACCGACGUCCAAACCGACUGCUUACAAAGUAAAUUGUGAAAAUGCUGCAAACAAUAAAAAUGUGUCAAAACACAACGGCACCAAGCCUAGCACAACCGAGGAUGAAAUUUUUCAUUGGCUUGAUGAAUUUUCAUCUGUUAUGUGUUCAGUCGCUGGAAAUACAAAUUACGAGCUACUUGAGUACCUUCUUACCUCCUACCAAAAGAAUAUAUCCAGGGUUUUUUACAGCUGUUGUUUUCUCAAGCCGUUCAGAUUUGUUAAGUUGAAGAAUCACAUCAAGAACACUCUAAUCUUCUUUUAUUUCUGCUGGCGAAACGUGAAAGAGAGAAUCAGUGAUGAUUAUACGUACCUGGACAAAAUGACGGAAAUUGUUAGAAUGUAUCUAGAUUUAGAGGUUCUAUCUUCCUCGAAGGACAAUGAUUCCUUUGAUAACCUUUCUGCUAAUAUACUCCACGCUAUCCACAUAUAUUUAGAUAACUCGGAAGAACACGUAUUCAAAGUUCUACUUAAAAGUAAAUGCGUGACGAAAACGUUUAGCAGAAUUUACAGUCCUAUAUUCCAAAAAUACUUUUCGAACCUAAAAAGUAACGCUGAGACCCUAUCAAACUUCGCAUACGUUCGUUAUUUACUAGCGUUUAAGUUAUGGAAGAAGAUUGUCAGCAGUCGGGAAGAGAAAACCAAAAUCACAGACAUGGCUUUAAUAAAAUUGGGUUCUUUGGUGCCAAAAAUGGAUCCGGAAUUAUCACAAUUUAUUCCAGAACCACCUGCAGGUGAACAAAGCGGGACUUUGUGGCUUAUGCAGUCUAAUAUCCUCGACUUCCGAAAAAUUUGUGAUGGUUUCCUUACGCUGGAAGCCAAGAUGCAUUCUUCCUCUUUCAGCACAGAAUUCGAGGAGCUAAAUCUUAAAGGAUCUAACGCUUUCUUGCAGCUGGAUCUAGAUGACGGUUUUAAACAAAAAGCGGAUACCAAGCUCGUGCAAACUCGAAAAAACAAACCUGUACCAAAAAGAGUGUUUCCAAAAUUAAAGCCAGGCGAAGUGCUAUCCAUUGAUUUAACCAUCGAUAACGAGGUAGAAGAAGAGAUCAACAUCAAUAAACGGAAAAUAAAAGAGAAACAACAGUGGUUGAAAGAAGCCAAAGUUCACCGAAAAUUUAAGAAACCUCAACCUUUUCCCAAACGAACUAAAUUGGUUCAACUUGCAGACGCCCAUAGCACCGAAAGCUGUGAGAAUUUGGAAAAGACUCGUUCAGAAAACGCUUCAAUUUCUUCUAAGACUGUCUACGGUCUCGACAAGUACUCGGUUUGUAGUCCUGUUGAGGAAAAUAUCGUUUCCUCGCAAACAGCCGAGAAUAAAGCGAACGCUCUCAGGGAUCAGAAGACCUCAGCCGUUGCAAGUUUGAAGAAUAUGUGCCAAAAGUGUUGUGAUAUUACCUCAAACUCUGCUACUCAAAAGUCGAAUACUAACAAGAAUAGCGCUGAUUUUGUGCACAGUAGUACAACAUAUGUAACUUCAGUCUGUGAUAAACUUAGAACUAGUGUAUUGCAUAAUAAAUCCAGAGAUAUAUUUAAUUACACGACCGAGGGUAUUUCUUCACGAAGUGGAAAAUUGUUACCAACCGACUGGGAUAAUAGAUUUGAUAGGACGGAAAUCUGCGCAGUAUCCACAACAGUUGGAGAUCACGCAUCUGAAUCAUCGUCUGGGGCCUGGACAGAUUACAAUAGUGCGGAUUCUGAAGCCCCCGACGCAAUUGCUUCGCCUACGUCAGAAAUUUUCAUUAAUUCGUGCAAGAUUCAGUGUGAGGAAGUCGGUGAAGAAACAGAGCUCGGUGGAUUCUCGACUACAGCUUCUGAUCCUCUGACACCUGAAAAAACGAUUGAUGUCUGCCUCUCUGAAACUGUGGCUAGAACGACACCCACCAAAUUGGAUAUUUGGAGCGCAGAAAUGAAUACGCUGGGAUUCCACAAAUUUUCGGAAGAUUUAGCUUCUUAUUUGGAUCAGCAGAUCCCGUCAGAUUCGUUAUUGGAAGGCAGCUUAGGCCCCACAGGAAUUCUGAAUUCAUUGUUGGAUUUUGAUCUAAUAGGACGUGUAGAUUCUUCUCAGACUGAUUUUGUCUACUCAAAUGUCCAAGCCAUUGACCCAAACCUUUUGAGAAAAGAUCCAGAAGAAUUUGAUUUUAAAAUUUCGAAUUUGUUUUCCGAUGAUUCGCCGCCGAGUUUUGAAAGUGAGGAAGGAAUGGAGAUGAUGAAUGAGUCUGAAAAAUCGGGUGAUAGUCCGGAGAUGGUGGAAUCUGAAAUGAAAGUUCGCGAGGAGCUUUCUGAAGCAAUUGAGACACCAGAUGGCAGGGAAGAGCAAAUAAAGGAGGAAGUUUCAAGCACAUCACGGAAGAUCUUGGAGGCUCGAGUGUACAAUACAAGGCAUAAAAGGAAGUCUGCAGUUUGGAGAAACUUGAUGGAAACGAAAGAUCCAAAGAGAAGGAAGAGAUCGCGAAGAUUUUCGAGUUUAUCGUCCGACACUGAAGAUAUUUUAAGGAGGGAGAAACGAGUUCAGUUGCCUUUUAAGAAGAGGUGUUGUCACACGUAUCAGAGGGAAAUUAUUGAGAAGAAAAAUGUAGGUGUAAUCAAGAAAGGUAAAUUCUUCGCGUUAAAUUUGUUGGUGAAAGUUUUCAUUUUACAUUAUACUUUUUUUCCCUUCUGUUUUUCACGAGCAGUUUCGUAUUUAUUCAAAAUUAACGUUUUGGUCUUUUUAUACUGAAAGAAAUAAUGUGCUAAAAUAUUUUUGAAUUUUGAUAUCAACUAUGAUUUGUACGAUUUUAAUACAACACUGAAGAUCAACAACUGAAGAGAAAGCAUCAUGGAAGAUUUCAAUCGUCGAUUCUAUAAAGGAUUGCACAGAAACACACGUCUGUGAUGAUAAAAAGUCUUUAUUUCUUUUUUGAAACAUUUGAACAAAAUAACCAAAGCAUCUCUGAUCAAUUUUGAAUAGAAAUUCGAUUAUUUUGUACAUUUUUAUUUUAUAUAGUGCAUAUUUGAAGAUGAUAAAGUAUACCCAGUGUAACGAUUCAGGUGUUUGAUUUCUGCUCAUCCCUAAAGGGUCGAUAUUACAGUUGCAGUCAAGUACAUCAAAUUGACCACUUACCUGCUUGCGAAGAAUUUUGCAUCUAAUCAACAUCUCGUCAGGUUUGAUUUAAUUUCUUUAAAAAAUUUUACCUCCGAUUUGGUAUCGUCAAACUUAUUAUGAAAUAUUUGAUUCCAGUACGAGUAUCUUUAAUUUAACAGGGUGAAAAAUUACAUUGUUCUUUUUAAAGAAUUUUAUACAAUUUUCUACUUCCAGAUAAUCAGUAUAUAAAACAGUGAAGUUAUGUCUCUUUUUACUCUAAAGGAUAUUCGAAUUCGAAGCUAAAAUAUUUUAAAUUUGUUAACAAUGUUCACGCUUUAUAAUUCGUAUUCGCUUCAAAGGGUUCAUCAGGCCAAAUAAAAAUUAUAACUCCAGUCGUAAUCGAAGCAUCAAACGAUCGAUGGCUACAAGAGUUUGUAACUAGAGCAUUAACAAAGCAAUUUGACACACGUAUACGAGAUUUCGCGCUUCAGUAGUGACAUAUAAUUUUACCAGGCUUAAUUUUUAAUUCAAACAAACGCUUAAGAUUACUAUAAAAUAUAAAUAUAAAAUUAUACAUUUACGUUGCGCGUAAUCAUAAUUGAACUAUUAUUAAGAUCGUUACAUACUCUGUGUAAUUUUAUUUUAGACUUUCUUUAAUAUUACGUUUUGAAAACGCUUGCCAUUCCUUUCGAAAAUCAAAGAUUGUGUGUGAGUUUAAGAGAUACAUUCUUUUUUAAUUUUGAGUACCUUAUACUUAGUGACCUUUUUAUUAUAUUUGAUAGUGAGAUAAUGAUCCACUUUAAGAAUCUUCCAUGACUAUAUAAUUAUAGCCACUAUAUUGUAAUAGAAACAUCAGUGUACCUCAUUCCUACUCUAGUGACAUAUUUUUACUUAAUCUUCUAUCGAUUUAAAUUUAAUUGUAUAAGAAACUUAUACUUCCAUCAUGUUUAGCUCAUUUUGAUUAACGUUCAGUACACAGAAAAUUUAAAUUCGACUAAAAAAAGCAUUUUAACAGCUGUUUUUAAUGCAAAAUAUUUUCAAGUUUCAAUUGUUUUCAAGAUUCGAUACAUUUUUUAAAUAAUUAAAAAUAUAUAAACGUUAAUCAAAAUUAACUAAAGUAUCCGUAAAUCCGAAUUUUACGUAUAAAUUACGAAAAUAGAUUUUAUUUACUACGUCUAAGUUUAUACGCGAUAUAUUCAAACAAGUGUGACCUGUAGACUGUAGAGUUUAAGUGUACAAUUACCCAAGCUCACGAAGAGAUUAUUAGGAAUAAUAGGAACAUAAUUAUAUUUUAAAACAGAUUACCGAAAGCAUUGAUGCAGGAAAUAUGUAAAGUUAUGUAUAAUUCAGCUCUACUAUUGUCAUUUAUCGUAAGACGUAAUAAGCAGUUUUUUCUUCAAAUUACGUAUUUUUAAGAGUGAUUAAAGUAACUUUGUUGAUAUUUUAUAAAUGACCGAGGGGAUAUUCGUACGGCCGAUCUGACACAAUUUUUCAAAAAUUCUCGUUUGACUGACCGUACGAAUAAACACUUCGUUUAGAAGUACAGUGGAACCUCUUCCAUCGAAACCUUUAUUCGAUUAGUGACCCAAAACCUUUCAUUUUUAUAAAUUUAAUUGAAAAUUUCCCCUCCCCCUGAUAUUUACAAUGGAGACCGGAAAUUUUCAAUUUUAGUUUCGGUAAAUAAUUUUUGGAAUAUAAUCGGCUUUUUAUUUUUUAUUUAUUAAAAUG